rnacentral:rRNA from 1 species
UCCGGAUUUAUUGGGUUUAAAGGGUCCGCAGGCGGAAUAUUAAGUCAGUGGUGAAAGCCUACAGCUCAACUGUAGAACUGCCAUUGAAACUGUUAUUCUUGAGUAUGGAUGAAGUGGGCGGAAUAUGUCAUGUAGCGGUGAAAUGCAUAGAUAUGACAUGGAACACCAAUUGCGAAGGCAGCUCACUAAACCAUUACUGACGCUCAUGGACGAAAGCGUGGGGAGCGAACAGGAUUAGAUACCCUGGUAGUCCACGCCGUAAACGAUGAUCACUAGAUGUUGGCGAUAUAAUGUCAGCGUUCAAGAGAAAUCGAUAA